rnacentral:lncRNA from 1 species
GGUAUUGGCAAGAAACAACUUUAUAUUACACUCACAAAGAAGAAACAAACUGGGAGUAUAGCUACCUACUUCUAAACAUUUGAGUAUUGGAACAUUCAUCCAUCAACUUGUUCUUGCAAAGGUUGGCUCUGUAUUUGUUCUUGCAAAGGUUGACUCUGUAUUUGUUCUUGCAAAGGUUGACUCUGUAUUUGUUCUUGCGAAGGUUGACUCUGUAUUUGUUCUUGCGACGGUUGACUCUGUAUUUCUUCUUGCAAGGGUUGACUCUGCAUCACGGCAAGAAACAGAUCAACAAUCUUCCAAUUUGAGAAAUGUUUGUAAGAGACAGAAAUACAUGGUUAUGACAUGAAAACAUGAGAAAAUCAAGAAAGAAGAAGCAU